rnacentral:rRNA from 1 species
GAUUCGCCCGCCGCGCCCCGCGCCCGUCCCGCCGCCCCCGCCCGCUCCUACGGGAGGCAGCAGUAGGGAAUCUUCCACAAUGGGCGCAAGCCUGAUGGAGCAACACCGCGUGAGUGAAGAAGGGUUUCGGCUCGUAAAGCUCUGUUGUUGGAGAAGAACGUGCGUGAGAGUAACUGUUCACGCAGUGACGGUAUCCAACCAGAAAGUCACGGCUAACUACGUGCCAGCAGCCGCGGUAAUACA